GCCGGAGCUGGCGGAAGUAGCACCCACCCUCGGGCGUGAGGCUGUGCGCCACGGAGUCCAGCGCGCAUGCGUACGUGCCGCCGGACGCCCCCUUAUUUUCCCUUGAUCCGGGCCCUACACUGUAGAGGUAGUGUCAGCCCGUCUUUCGCAGGCCGGUAACCUUUUCUUCCUGUAGUCUCUCUCCUCACCCACAUCUGCUCCCUGUCAGUAGUGUCCUCUGUCGCAGGACCGCGCCAUUUCUGCCCCCACACCCUCUGCAGCCGUGCCCACAGGUGUCCUGAAGCAGAAUUGGGCAGGUGCCUGGAAACGCUGAGGUCCCCCUUGCCACGAGUGUCGGACGCCUGACUCCUCGGGGAAGCCGGCGCGCUGGGGUGGUGAGGCGUCUCUCCAGUUAAAAAUCUAGAUUCCAGGUCUGACAAGUGAGAGUGGAGUUGUGGUGAUAGUGGACUGUGGUACCUGACAUCCAGAGACAAUCCUGAACUCUACACAUGGAUAAACUAACGUGUCUCCGUGAGAGGAGCUCCAGUCUUCACCUUCACUUUAGAUGUCAUCUCCUGGCUACCAGCACAGACUCUUGAACUUCCAGUGCAGAUUCUUCAGUCUUCCAUUGCAGACCUAUCCACCUCUUGUUAGGGACUUGCACGUGACACUGCAGUGAGCUCCAGAUCUUCGACUGAAUCCUUUGGUCUCUAGUGUGCAAACAGAUGGUCUGCACUCUUUCACAUCUCUUUCUGUGGGUGGUCAUUGUAAGCCAAUCAUGUGAAUUCUUAUAUAUUUGUAUAUGUUGUGUUAUAUCUGUUUUUCUAGUAAACACUGAUACAUUUCCUCAAACAUUGCUAAAAAAUACAGUUCAUUUCUUGGUGGUGACAUAAUUUAAAAUCCUUUCUUUUAAUUCUUUUAAAUAUAUAGUACAUUAUCAUUGUUUGUUAGAAACACACUAGAACUUACUUGUUUUUAGCCGAAGCUUUGUACCAUUUACUAAUAAUUUUCCCAUUCUCUGCCUCCUUUCUUUUUUUUUUUUUAGUCCCUGUAACCACUGUUCUACUCCCUACUUCUGUGAAAUCAACUUUGUUGGAUUCCAAAUAUAAGUGCAAUUAUAUGGAACUUAUCUAGUUUUCAUCCUGCUCUUAAUGCAUUUAUUUCCCUGGUUUUAAAACUAUCAGGCAUGUGUGUUUUCAUCCUUUUUUGCAACAAUUCAAGUCUCAGUUUGUUAUGGUGAGACAUUUUAUAUUAAACAAUUACUUGGUAAGACACAGUAAUAUACAUAAUUAUUUUGUUCAUUUUUAAAAGAUGUUAGGAUUUCCCAAUUUUACAUAGAAUCAAAAUAAUGUAAACUUU